rnacentral:rRNA from 1 species
AGAUCAUAGUGCCUGGAAUGGCUUAUGGUCCAAACACCUUACUGCCAUGGGAUGGGACUGCGGCCUAUCAGCUUGUUGGUGAGGUAAUGGCCCACCAAGGCGAUUACAGGUACGGGCUCUGAGAGGAGAAGCCCGGAGAUGGGUACUGAGACACGGACCCAGGCCCUAUGGGGCGCAGCAGGCGAGAAACCUUAGCAAUGUGCGAAAGCACGACUGGGUCAGUCCGAGUGAUUCCUGAUAAAGGAGUCUUUUGCCUGUCCUAAAAACUUUUGUGAAUAAGGGGUGGGCAAGUCUGGUGUCAGCCGCCGCGGUAAUACCAGCACCUCGAGUGGUCAGGACGUUUAUUGGGCCUAAAGCAUCCGUAGCCGGCGCUGCAAGUCUUCGGUUAAAUCCACCUGCUCAACAGAUGGGCUGCUGGAGAUACUACAGCGCUAGGGAGUGGGAGAGGCAGACGGUAUUCAGUGGGUAGGGGUAAAAUCCUCUGAUCCAUUGAGGACCACCAGUGGCGAAGGCGGUCUGCCAGAACACGUUCGACGGUGAGGGAUGAAAGCUGGGGGGAGCAACCGGAUUAGAUACCCGGGUAGUCCAGCUGUAAACGAU